CAAACUCAACUGAGUUAAAAUAAAUGAUAAUUUAUAUUUGUCAUGAAUAUAAUGUACAAGAAAAGGAACUGUAUUUCGAGAAGGCAAUUUUUCCAUUACAUGGGACAAUGUGUACUGGGAUAGAUGAAUGAAGACCUGUUCGUAUGAAUGUGAAAUAACAAGAAAAAAUAUCCCCUCCCAAAACGACGCAAUCUUAGCAGAAAUAGUGCCCAUCAAAAACAAUAGUAUAGAGUAUAGACUGUGCACGGAAACAACAAUAAAAAUAAUCGUAAUAAUGUUUUAAUCAAUUACAAGAAAGUUGACAUCUGGAACAAGAAUUAUUUGACCAUUUAACGCCAUAUUCGUCAGGUGCGUCAACUAAAUAUAGAACACUCCGUGGAGAAGAUCGAAGCCACUAUAUUUCGAUACUUUAUACAUUCAAAUUAUUAUUUUGAAAUAAUCUUCUCGAGGUUCGCCUUGCAAUGAUAUUAUCAUCUAUUUUAUAUUGUCUUUAUUAUUUUUGAAAGCUCUAAAGUAAAUUUAUUGAAAGCAACAAA